UGUUUAAUGUCUUGUCAUGUAUGGGUCGAUCCAUGUAGCAGGCUCUGGCCUGUCCAGAAAGAUGCUGUUACCCAGUGGAGAAUCAGAAGGCCUUGCUGGAGGCUUAGCACUGGACGGAUUCUCAGAAGAUACUCCUUUGAAGUGAAGAAGUGUGAUCCUUGGUGGAACAAGAAAGGCUUAAUAAGAAGGAACAAGCCAGUGUGAUCCUCCAUGGCGUCUGCUUCAAUUCCUGCCUCCAAGUUCCUGCCUGCUUCCCAGCCUGACUUCCUUUGACGCUGGACUGUGAUGAGGAAGUGUAAGAGGAAACAAACCCUUCCUUCCUUCCACAAGUUGCUUUGGUCAUGGCGUUUUUUCACAACAGUGGGAAUCUAGCUGAGACAGAGGAAGUACUUUUGGUGCUGGGCCAGCCCAAUCUGGAGCUUCAUUGACACAUGAAAUUUCCACCGAGUGGGACAUUAACACUUUUAAUGUGAGUGUGUCUGGGGUAGAGAUUGAUGGCUUUCCCACUAAUCCAUAGAAACAUUUCAGUAAAGUCCUUGGAAGCUUGA